CGCAGACAUGCGUGAGGUGCAAAUACAGUUUAGUGCCAAAAAUGGUGCAAAUUCGUUUCAGAUGUGUGCGUGGGUGUGGCUGUGGGUGUGUCGUGUGUGUGUUUGCUGGAGUGUA